CGUGGCCUGUGCCGGGGAGCCAAUCAGUGCUCCCUCCAGCCACAGACAGCCCCCAGCCCCUCUCUCCUGCAUUCCCCCGGGCUGUGACAGACGGGAAGCCCAUGGCCAGCAAGGUGCCGGCAUUUGGGGGGGCCCAAGGGGGGGCACAGCAUGAUGUAGGGGGGGCCAUGGCCCCCUCUGGCCCCCCCCUAGCGACGCCACUG